UACGUAGGGACCAAGCGUUGUUCGGAUUCAUUGGGCGUAAAGGGUGCGUAGGCGGCGCGGUAAGUCGGGUGUGAAAUCUCGGGGCUUAACUCCGAAACUGCAUUCGAUACUGCCGUGCUUGAGGACUGGAGAGGAGACUGGAAUUUACGGUGUAGCGGUGAAAAUGCGUAGAUAUCGUAAGGAAGACCAGUGGCGAAGGCGGGUCUCUGGACAGUUCCUGACGCUGAGGCACGAAGGCCCGGGGGAGCAAAACGGG
rnacentral:rRNA from 1 species